rnacentral:sRNA from 1 species
UGCGUUAAAUCGCAUGAUCUUUAUGCCCGA